UACAGAGGUCCCAAGCGUUGUUCGGAUUCAUUGGGCGUAAAGGGUGCGUAGGCGGCGCGGUAAGUCGGGUGUGAAAUCUCGGGGCUUAACUCCGAAACUGCAUUCGAUACUGCGGUGCUUGAGGACUGGAGAGGAGACUGGAAUUUACGGUGUAGCAGUGAAAUGCGUAGAGAUCGUAAGGAAGACCAGUGGCGAAGGCGGGUCUCUGGACAGUUCCUGACACUGAGGCACGAAGGCCAGGGGAGCAAACGGG
rnacentral:rRNA from 1 species